UCUUUUUAUAGCUUUGAGGCUUUGCUUUAUUUAUUUUUCUUUGGUUAGGAUACCUUUUGCAUCAUGAUCUGUUGAAGUUUUCUGUGUAUUAGAGGUUCUCGAAAGGCAAUGAUUUAGGUUGAGUUUGUUUUGAAUGAAAGGGUUAUGCGGGCAGCAUUCUUUAAAAUUUGGCUUGGGUGUGAUAGAUAAUACGUAUUGUCUUAUAGCUAGUUCUUGAUGUGGUUUUCUAGUUAAACCCCUUGCUAAGAUGUGCGGGGUUUGUUAAGAGACGGCUUACUUUUUGCAUAGUUCUAGGUUAAAAGUCCCUGUGAAUAGUUUUUGUGUUAUAACAUGCUGUUUUAUUGGUUAGAGGUCUUUAUUAGAUGAGUCAAGGAAGUUAACAUGUUAUUAGUUUAUGGCAGAAUGCGUAGUUUUAUUAGGCUUUUUUUUUCUCGCUUGCCGCCGGACUGUUUAUUAAAAACAUUUCUAUUGUUUUAAUUUUCGAUAGUAGUGCCUGCCCAGUGUGUUUUACAUAAAUGGCCGCAGUAUAUUGACUGUGCUAAGGUAGCAUAAUUAAUUGCCCUAUAAUUGAGGGAUUGUCUGAAUGGUGUCACCAGGUGGUGAAAGUAAAUGAUGCUUUAAUAUGAGAUUGGUUUGUUGGUGCAGAACCCAACAGCUUUAAAUAAGACGGAAAGACCCCAAGAGCUUUAUAAACUAUUUUAUUUACUUGGGGUAAGGGCAUAUUGUUUAUAUGUUUUAUGACCCUCUUUAAAGGGGAUAUAGGAGAAAGUUACCUUGGGGAUAACUAGGUAAGAGGUAAGGAGAGCUCAUAUCGAUUUACCUGUUUGCCAUCUCGAUGUUGACUUGGGGUUUAGCACAAGGGCGCAGAAGUUUUUGUGGUGGGUCUGUUCGACCUUAAUUAUCCCUUCAUGAGUUGAGUUAAGACCGGCGUGAGCCAGGUCGGUUCUUAUCUAUUGGUCUCUUAGCCUAGUACGAAAGGAUUGGUUAGGGUUUAAGUUGGAUGUGUUGUGAAUACACAGGACACUCUGCAAAGGUGUUUUUAGUACUUAAUGUGCUC
rnacentral:rRNA from 1 species